ensembl:snoRNA Gm25105 predicted gene, 25105
ACUCUCUGGUUCUUGAUCCCAUUGGAUGGUGACACUGCUUUUGGUGGUUGUAAAGGGGGGAAAAGUGUAAUGAAGCUGGCGUCACAGCACUGCAGUCUGUUACAGAGCACUGGGCCAGAUGCACGCCAGC